rnacentral:rRNA from 1 species
CCUACGGGAGGCAGCAGUGAGGAAUAUUGGUCAAUGGGCGGGAGCCUGAACCAGCCAAGCCGCGUGAGGGAAGAAGGUACAGCGUAUCGUAAACCUCUUUUGUCAGGGAACAAAGGCGGGGACUAGUCCCCGGAUGAGGGUACCUGAAGAAAAAGCAUCGGCUAACUCCGUGCCAGCAGCCGCGGUAAUACGGAGGAUGCGAGCGUUAUCCGGAUUUAUUGGGUUUAAAGGGUGCGCAGGCGGCCUGUUAAGUCAGCGGGAAAAGCCCGGGGCUCAACCCCGGCGAGCCGUGGAAACUGGCGGGCUGGAGUUGGAGAGAAGUACGCGGAAUGCGCGGUGUAGCGGUGAAAUGCUUAGAUAGCGCGCAGAACCCCGAUUGCGAAGGCAGCGUACCGGCUCCACACUGACGCUGAGGCACGAAGGCGUGGGUAUCGAACAGGAUUAGAUACCCGAGUAGUC